rnacentral:rRNA from 1 species
CACGUAGGGGGCAAGCGUUUGUCCGGAUUUAUUGGGCGUAAAGAGCUCGUAGGCGGUUCGGUAAGUCGGGUGUGAAACCUCCAGGCUCAACCUGGAGACGCCACCCGAUACUGCUGUGACUCGAGUCCGGUAGGGGAGCGUGGAAUUCCUGGUGUAGCGGUGAAAUGCGCAGAUAUCAGGAGGAACACCAGCGGCGAAGGCGGCGCUCUGGGCCGGAACUGACGCUGAGGAGCGAAAGCGUGGGUAGCAAACAGG